CGGAGAAUUUUAUUUCGGUGAAAUUCUUAGUGGCGAACGGGUGAGUAACGCGUAGACAACCUACCUCUCUGAUGGGGACAACAUCGCGAAAGCGGUGCUAAUACCGAAUGAUGUAACUUUUCUGCAUGGAAGAGUUACCAAAGGCGGCCUCUAUUUAUAAGCUGUCACUGAGAGAUGGGUCUGCGUCUGAUUAGCUAGUUGGUGGGGUAAUGGCCCACCAAGGCGACGAUCAGUAGCCGGUCUGAGAGGAUGAACGGCCACAUUGGGACUGAGACACGGCCCAAACUCCUACGGGAGGCAGCAGUGGGGAAUCUUCCGCAAUGGACGAAAGUCUGACGGAGCAACGCCGCGUGAGUGAAGAAGGUUUUCGGAUCGUAAAGCUCUGUUGUUUGAGACGAAUGUGCAAUUUUUGAAUAAGGAAUUGUAAUGACGGUAUUAAACGAGAAAGCCACGGCUAACUACGUGCCAGCAGCCGCGGUAAUACGUAGGUGGCAAGCGUUGUCCGGAAUUAUUGGGCGUAAAGGGAGCGCAGGUGGGAAAGUCAGUCGAUUUUAAAAGUGCGGGGCUCAACCCCGUGAGGGAAUCGAAACUACUUUUCUUGAGUGCAGGAGAGGAAAGCGGAAUUCCUAGUGUAGCGGUGAAAUGCGUAGAUAUUAGGAGGAACACCAGUGGCGAAGGCGGCUUUCUGGACUGUAACUGACACUGAGGCUCGAAAGCCAGGGGAGCGAACGGGAUUAGAUACCCCGGUAGUCCUGGCCGUAAACGAUGGAUACUAGGUGUGGGAGGUAUCGACCCCUUCCGUGCCGGAGUUAACGCAAUAAGUAUC
rnacentral:rRNA from 1 species